rnacentral:rRNA from 1 species
GACGAACGCUGGCGGCGUGCUUAACACAUGCCAGUCGAACGGAAAGGCCCUGCUUUUGUGGGGUGCUCGAGUGGCGAACGGGUGAGUAACACGUGAGUAACCUGCCCUUGACUUUGGGAUAACUUCAGGAAACUGGGGCUAAUACCGGAUAGGAGCUCCUGCUGCAUGGUGGGGGUUGGAAAGUUUCGGCGGUUGGGGAUGGACUCGCGGCUUAUGAGCUUGUUGGUGGGGUAGUGGCUUACCAAGGCUUUGACGGGUAGUCGGCCUGGGAGGGUGACCGGACACAUUGGGACUGAGGUACGGCCCAGAGUGCUACGGGAGGCAACGGUGGGGAAUAUUACACAAUGAGCGGGAGCCUGAUGCAGCAACGCCGCGUGCGGGAUGACGGCCUUCGGGUUGUAAACCGCUUUCGCCUGUGACGAAGCGUGAGUGACGGUAAUGGGUAAAGAAGCACCGGCUAACUACGUG